UGUUUUAGGGUUAGUUUAGGGUUAGUUAAGAGGGCUUUGAGAUGAUUCUAUUACAUGACCUUCAGUUAUGGCUACAUCCUGGCUGUUGACUUCUUUUCGCAGUGACCUUUGGUUGUUACAGUCUGCCACAGUGUGUCAUGCUCUGGUCUACUAUGUAUGUGGAAGACUCCAAUUGAUAUGUCUGCUCCUGGCAGCACCAAUCUACUUAAGAGAAGAUAUGGGCAUUGAAGAACCUCCACAUGGAGUUAACUUUCACUGUGGCAAAAGUUAGCCACUGGGCAAGAAAGUGUCCUUGAAUAGACUGCUGACAGUAUGAUGUCUAAAAUGGACAAACAGGACACAAAACAAAGGACUGCUGAUCCUUGCCAAGACAAAUGUGGUUGCAGCUUUGGCAACAGGUAUCCUCUGAGGCCAGGACAAGAGGACACCAUAACUGAAGUGGUUUUGCAAUCUGGAAAAGGUACAGUGCACUUUUCUUCAAAGGCAGCUAAACAGGCAGUGGACUGAUGGUUUCUAGUGUGCAGUGGAACAGUAGCUGGGACAGUUACUCUUGAAGGAGUAACUAGGCUAACGGAGUCUGACUUCUUAAUGGUAGACUGGCACUUAAUAAAGGAGAUGAAGCUGCCCACAAGCCAAGAAGAAUGGGAAACCAAAUUCCAAAAACACCAGCAAUUUCCAGAAUUUAAAAUCCUGAAUCAUGACAAGACACUGGCAGAAUUCAAGUUUAUCUGGUACAUGGAAUACUCACACCAAAUGUGAGGUCAAGCUGUAGGUCUUGAGUACAUCCUGCUUCACAAAUGAGUCUGUCAGAUAUGCUAAGCCUGUAGGCCAAAGAUGAUGUCCCAUGUUGGGCAUGGAGUUGAACAAUGUCAAAUCCACCCCUGUUGAGAUAAGAAAUGGUACAGCUAGGAGACCUAUGGGUUCUGUUACCUUCUUGCAGACUCAUCUGCUUUCCAUAUUGAGUAACAAUAAAUUUGGUAACUAGGAUUGUGCCUUGAUUCACAGGA